UACUGUGAAGCAUCCUGUUAAGUCAGGCAACGAGCGAGACCCACGUCCACAGUUGCCAGCAUACCCUCCCGGGGUGGAUGGGUACACUGUGGAGACCGCCGCUGCUAAGCGGAGGAAGGAGUGGGCAACGGUAGGUCAGUAUGCCCCGAAUCUCCCGGGCUACACGCGGGCUACAAUGGUUGGUACAAUGGGCAUCUACCCCGAAAGGGGAAGGAAAUCUCUUAAAGCCAAUCGUAGUUCGGAUUGAGGGCUGCAACUCGCCCUCAUGAAGCUGGAAUCCGUAGUAAUCGCGUUUCAACAGAACGCGGUGAAUACGUCCCUGCUCCUU
rnacentral:rRNA from 1 species